rnacentral:rRNA from 1 species
GACGUAGGGCGCGAGCGUUGUCCGGAUUUAUUGGGCGUAAAGAGCUCGUAGGCGGUCUGUCGCGUCUGCUGUGAAAACCUAGGGCUUAACUCUGGGCGUGCAGUGGGUACGGGCAGGCUAGAGUGCGGUAGGGGAGACUGGAAUUCCUGGUGUAGCGGUGGAAUGCGUAGAGAUCCGGAGGAACACCAGCGGCGAAGGCGGCAUCCUGGACUGGUCCUGACACUCAUGAGCGAAAGCGUGGGGAGCGAUCCGG